rnacentral:lncRNA from 1 species
CCCAAUGUAAUGAGAGCAACAAUCAGACGUCGGGCCACAGAUCUAGCCGGAUAAGAUACCUGCUGGGUGUGGACGAGCAGGCGACGCCCCUCCCCUGGAAGCACCGCCGGGCGCAGCAUCCUCGUCGCCGCCGCGCGGAGGGAAGCCGCCAUCGACGCAGGCCUGCAGAUCAAUCACCCAAGACUCGAGAGAUCAAGCAACGGAUUAGGAAAGGAACUAGUGAUUAGAGGUCAUGUAUGGGAGCCUACCCUACCUUGCGGAUCGGAACUGGUUAGGGUUAGGGUUAGGGUUCCUCGCUCGUUCGCCUUUCGCCGCCGCCGCCGAGGAGAAGAAGACGACGCUUUGUGCUCUGUCUCUAUCUUCCAGCCGAAGGGGGCCGCGCAGUAUAUUGUAGCAUGGCCAGCAGGCCCAGCCCAUCUAUGAGAAUGAGACCCACUCACCGACCAAAGGUCCAAUUCCUUCUUCCUUU